rnacentral:lncRNA from 1 species
GCGGAAGGACUUACGAAAGAGGUCAUUAACAUACGUAGGUUUGAUGCUGCUCUUGUAGUCGCUGCUCAGAUUUUGCUGCUGUUCUUUUCCUUUUUUUUUUUUUUUUUUCUUUGCUCAAGGUCUCGCCCAGGAGGACACUUCCAGAAUGUGAUUAAAAAGCUAAAACUUCGAGAGCCGGGAAACUCGACGUCGACUCGGAGCUCUUGGCGGGAUUAUUUGCUCUGUGGACGAGGCCCCUGUGAGGAUCUCGCACACCUCUGAGCAUCCUUCCCGGGGCCCGGCUCGCCGCCACCUCGGACGUCUCGACAGCGGGAGUUCACCUCCUCCGCCCCCUCAGCUCCCUGCACUCCUGUCCAGGCGCGCGUGGAGAUCUUCUCCUCUAAUAAGGCCUGGGACCGCGGCCAAGCGCUCCUUACGGCUGGCAGAGCAUCUCCUUCCGAGCCCCACGUCCCCCGGUAGCUCAGCAAAGGAGGGGAUGCUGGCAUCGAUGCAGGCGGGGGAGGGAAUCUCAUGGGAUGCUUUUUUGCUGCUGAACCCCGGGGGGAAUUCUUUUUGCACAGAUUACUGUCUCACAGGCACAAGACUGGAGGGGGAGGGGACACACCCAGGAUGGGACACCAGUCCAUCGCAAGGCACCCCAAGCAGGACUGGAACCCCAGACCCACCGGACAGCAGGAGCCAAGCAAGCAUCCUGCACCACUGCACCCCCGCAAUUAAAUCUCC